rnacentral:rRNA from 1 species
AGAGUUUGAUCCUGGCUCAGAUUGAACGCUGGCGGCAGGCCUAACACAUGCAAGUCGGGCGGUAACAGGGAGAAGCUUGCUUCUCUGCUGACGAGCGGCGGACGGGUGAGUAAUGUAUGGGGAUCUGCCGAAUGGAAUGGGACAACAGUUGGAAACGGUAGCUAAUACCGCAUAAUGUCCACGGACCAAAGAGGGGGACCUUCGGGCCUCUUGCCAUCAGAUGUGCCCAGAUGGGAUUAGCUAGUAGGUGGGGUAACGGCUCACCUAGGCGACGAUCCCUAGCUGGUCUGAGAGGAUGACCAGCCACACUGGAACUGAGACACGGUCCAGACUCCUACGGGAGGCAGCAGUGGGGAAUAUUGCACAAUGGGCGCAAGCCUGAUGCAGCCAUGCCGCGUGUAUGAAGAAGGCCUUAGGGUUGUAAAGUACUUUCGGUGAUGAGGAAGGUACUUGGUCUAAUAGGCCAAGUAAUUGACGUUAAUUACAGAAGAAGCACCGGCUAACUCCGUGCCAGCAGCCGCGGUAAUAC